UACAGAGGGUGCGAGCGUUAAUCGGAAUUACUGGGCGUAAAGCGUGCGUAGACGGCUAUCUAAGUCGGGUGUGAAAGCCCCGGGCUCAACCUGGGAAUUGCAUUCGAGACUGAAUAGCUAGGGUGCGGUAGAGGGAAGCGGAAUUUCCGGUGUAGCGGUGAAAUGCGUAGAUAUCGGAAGGAACAUCAGUGGCGAAAGCGGCUUCCUGGACC
rnacentral:rRNA from 1 species